UAGGAUGCAAUGCCAACUCACGAUAAGAAGAAAUACUAUGGUCCAGAGCCUUCUUAACAUCUCCUGCACUUCAAAGACUCUGCAGUUGGCAGUGAUUCUAAUGUUUCCCUAAGCAUGGUCAAGGUGGCUACAGAGAGACAAACGUCCACAAAUUCUCACAGAUGGAAGUUUUCCACUGGCCUAUUUUGGUAUAAAUAUUCAUCAAGGGCUAGAAAAUUAAACUAGAUAUGGGUCUGAGCUAGAAGCAGUUUCAACUUUCAACUUUCAACUUUCAGUCACCCUCUCAGGAGGGCCGGAUCUUCUGAGAUGUGACUGCUGUUGUUUGGAGACCAGGGUCAACUGUCUCCCCAGCCUAUGGAAAUCCCUGGUUUGUUCUCAGGGGACCUUUGGCUGGAGAGUGGCGGCUGUUGGAUUCACAGGAAGGCCCGGAGUUGGUUCUUUGGAAGUAUAUCAAGGUGUGGCUCAUCCGCAUCCUGCAGCGACUGCUUUGGAAGGUAAGUUUGAGGGGAGAUAAUCUGAGACUGGUUUAGAAUGCUUUCUCACUUUAUCUUUCUUUAGGUCUUAAGACAUCUCUUGGGUACCAUGGAGGGCAGACAUCAAGGUGUCCGUCUCCCUCUACUCCUGCAUCUCUUGCCUUUGCUGGCUCUGGUUUUGGCUCAUCAAUGUAAAGGCCUAUGAGUCAACAGUGCAGCCACAUGGGGCCCCGUGGAUGGAAGAGAAGGGAGUGGUCUUCUUUCUCUCUUCCACAUCUGUAUCAACCACCCACCCCCAUGUUCUAUUCUCCUUCUCCUCCUCCUCUCAGCAAUGACUGUGUCUGUCCAGAGAGGGGGCAAAGCUGCUGUUCCCUUACCCCAUUCAUCUGCGUCUUUCUCUUACUUCCUGCUUGCUUACUCUGCUCCACCCACCACACUGCCAAGCCCUUCCUGUGUGCUUCAAUAACAGGGAGCGCACCGAGGGGAAUGAGGCCAGGCAGAGGAUUUCAGCGCAAACAGGAUAUUGUGGUGCAGGAAAUAAAGCAGGCAAGACAACAAUGGCAGAUGUCCCUGGACCACUCUGAAGAUGGGUGUAUGGAGGGAGAAGAAGGCCCUCUCUGCAAGCAGGGGUGUGUGCAAGAAAGUUCUGAUCAUUCAGAGGAGGCUGGGUACUGUCAGUACAUGACUGAAGAGGGACCAUCAGAGAAAUGGUAACUCUGGACUAAUAGAAGGGAGCUUUAAAAGCUCCAGCAGCCGUUCCUUGAGACAGACUUCUUUAAUGUAGCAUCCACUAGGCUGCUACAAGAGCGUAGCCUUCAGCCCCACUGUCCCCUGAUCAUCUGUUCACAGAUCCAUCUCUUCACACCUUUAGCAGAACUUCAAAGUAAAAUUUGUACAGCACUUCCCCACGUUGUUGCCUGGGUGUGUGAUGAAUGUGCACGCGGGUGUCCGUGUGUUUGCCACGGUGUGCAUGUGGAUGUCAGGGGGCAGCCUUGUGUAUUGAUCUUCACCUUUCACUUUCUUUGAGACAGAGCCUCCUGCUGGUCACUGCCUCAUUAGCUAGACUAGUAACAUCCACCUUCCAGAAGGAUCACAGUGAUUGCAAAUGUAAAAUAUUCAAAAAUCUCAAGUAUUCACUUGAUUACUUUAUAUGUGUAUUCCCUAAAACCACUAUCAGAUAAAAUACAGAAACCCUGCAUUCCAUAAAGUUCCCAAGUGCUCCUUUCUUGGCAAUAACCAGUUUUUAGAAAAAUAGCUAUCUUCUAUCUUUGUAGACUUCUUUCCACUCUGUUCAGAACAUUAUGCAGGAGAAAGUCUAUGGUAUCAUAUAAUUUUGCUUCUUAAUUUCUCUAUUCAAAAUGUUUAAGAUUACCCGGGUGGUUGCAUACAUUAAAUAAUAAAAAAAAAAAAAACCUACUUAGCCUCUGUUAUCUAAAUAUCCAUUCUCAUGUUGAUGAGGGUUUGAAUUGCCUACAGUCAAGGGCUGUUGUAGAUAAAAAUCAUUCCAGACACGCGUGUCUCAGUGCUUGCGGUGGAUGCCCACGGCCCUUUCUCCUGGACGUGUACAUCAGAGUAAAACUGUUAUAGGGUAGAUAGGCAUUAAACCCCAGGAGAAGGGACCAGCAGCUUCUAGUUGUAUCAUCUUAUAGUCUCCCUGGCAACAUCACGUGACUUCUAGUUGUUCCACUUCUUUCCCAGACUUGGUAAUGCCUGCUUUAAUUUCAACAUUCCACUGAGUAUCCAACACAAUCUCAUUAUGCUUUUACUUUGUAUUUCUUGAAGAAAUAAUGAUAUCAACCUCUCCCCCCCCCCUUGUCUGCACAUACAAGCUAUUUAGGCUUCUUCUUUUGUGAUAUAUCUGGUCCAGCCUUUGUUUUUAGGAACUGGAGACAUGGUUUAGUGAUUUAGAGUACUUGCUGCUAUUGUAGAGGACCCAGGCUCAGUUCCCAGCACCUACUUGGUAACUCCCCAACGAUUUGGAACAGCAGAACCAGGAGAUACGAUGCCCUCUUCUGGUCUUUGCAAGUAUCUGCUUGUGUAUGGCACAAUACUAAUGUGCCAUAAACAUGCUUAAAUAAAACUAUUUUUUAAAGUUGGCCAUUACGAAUCAGUUUGUGGAAGAAAUCUAUGUAUUCUGGAUACAACUUUUUGUCAAAAGCAUCUAUGUGCACAACACUUGGAAAGCUUUCUCUUUGUAGACUAUCUCUCAUCUAUUGGUGAUGUCUUUUAGUGAAAGCGAGGUAAUCUUGACAGACAGCUCUCUCAUUUAUUUAUACCUACUCCCUCCAGAUAAGAAGUCACAGAGGUACUAUCUUGAUCACAAUGUCACUGUUCUAAGCAUUUUAGAUGGCAAUAAACUAUGACUACUCUGC
rnacentral:lncRNA from 1 species